rnacentral:rRNA from 1 species
GAUGAACGCUGGCGGCGUGCCUAAUACAUGCAAGUCGAGCGAACAGACGAGGAGCUUGCUCCUCUGACGUUAGCGGCGGACGGGUGAGUAACACGUGGAUAACCUACCUAUAAGACUGGGAUAACUUCGGGAAACCGGAGCUAAUACCGGAUAAUAUAUUGAACCGCACGGUUCAAUAGUGAAAGACGGUUUUGCUGUCACUUAUAGAUGGAUCCGCGCCGCAUUAGCUAGUUGGUAAGGUAACGGCUUACCAAGGCAACGAUGCGUAGCCGACCUGAGAGGGUGAUCGGCCACACUGGAACUGAGACACGGUCCAGACUCCUACGGGAGGCAGCAGUAGGGAAUCUUCCGCAAUGGGCGAAAGCUUGACGGAGCAACGCCGCGUGAGUGAUGAAGGUCUUCGGAUCGUAAAACUCUGUUAUUAGGGAAGAACAAAUGUGUAAGUAACUAUGCACGUCUUGACGGUACCUAAUCAGAAAGCCACGGCUAACUACGU